GACGAACGCUGGCGGCGUGCUUAACACAUGCAAGUCGAACGGAAAGUCCCUGCUUUUGUGGGGUGCUCGAGUGGCGAACGGGUGAGUAACACUUGAGUACCCUGCCCUUGACUUUGGGAUAACUUCAGGAAACUGGUGCUAAUACCGGAUAGGAUCUCCUGCUUCAUGGUGGGGGUUGGACAGUUUCGGCGGUUGGGGAUGGACUGGCGGCUGAUCAGCUUGUUUGUGGGGUAGUGGAUUACCAAGGCUUUGACGGGUAGCCGGGCUGAGAGGGUGACCGGACAAAUUGGGAUGGGAAUGAGGCACAGACUCAAACGGGAGGCAAGGGAGGGGAAGAGUGCAAAAUGGGAGGGAGGAAGAUGCAACAAAGCCGCGUGGGGGAAAAGGGCAUUCGGGUUGGAAACCGAAUUUGCCUGUGACGAAGCGAGAGUGACGGUAACGGGUAAAGAAGCACCGGCUAACUACGUG
rnacentral:rRNA from 1 species